rnacentral:rRNA from 1 species
UACGUAGGUGGCGAGCGUUGUCCGGAUUUACUGGGCGUAAAGGGCGCGUAGGCGGCGCGACAAGUCAGUGGUGAAAGCCCGAGGCUCAACUUCGGGUCGGCCACUGAUACUGUCGGGCUCGAGCACUGUAGAGGCAGGUGGAAUUCCGGGUGUAGCGGUGGAAUGCGUAGAGAUCCGGAAGAACACCGGUGGCGAAGGCGGCCUGCUGGGCAGUAGCUGACGCUGAGGCGCGACAGCGUGGGGAGCAAACAGG